GAUCCUGGCUCAGGAUGAACGCUAGCUACAGGCUUAACACAUGCAAGUCGAGGGGAAACGACAUUGGAAGCUUGCUUCCUUUGGGCGUCGACCGGCGCACGGGUGAGUAACGCGUAUCCAACCUUCCCGCAAGUAAGGGAUAACCCGUAGAAAUGCGGCCUAAUACCUUAUGUUUUCCUUAGAGGGCAUCUGAUGAGGAACAAAGAUCCGUCGCUUGCGGAUGGGGAUGCGUCUGAUUAGUUAGUCGGCGGGGUAACGGCCCACCGAGACGACGAUCAGUAGGGGUUCUGAGAGGAAAGUCCCCCACAUUGGAACUGAGACACGGUCCAAACUCCUACGGGAGGCAGCAGUGAGGAAUAUUGGUCAAUGGGCGGAAGCCUGAACCAGCCAAGUAGCGUGCAGGACGACGGCCCUAUGGGUUGUAAACUGCUUUUAUGCGGGGAUAAAGUGGGCCACGCGUGGCCUUUUGCAGGUACCGCAUGAAUAAGGACCGGCUAAUUCCGUGCCAGCAGCCGCGGUAAUACGGAAGGUCCGGGCGUUAUCCGGAUUUAUUGGGUUUAAAGGGAGCGCAGGCCGCCGGGCAAGCGUGUUGUGAAAUGCAGUCGCUCAACGUCUGCACUGCAGCGCGAACUGCCCAGCUUGAGUGCGCGCAACGUUGGCGGAAUUCGCCGUGUAGCGGUGAAAUGCUUAGAUAUGGCGAAGAACUCCGAUUGCGAAGGCAGCUGACGGGUGCGUAACUGACGCUCAUGCUCGAAAGUGCGGGUAUCGAACAGGAUUAGAUACCCUGGUAGUCCGCACGGUAAACGAUGGAUGCCCGCUGUUCGGCCUUAUUGGUUGAGUGGCCAAGCGAAAGCGUUAAGCAUCCCACCUGGGGAGUACGCCGGCAACGGUGAAACUCAAAGGAAUUGACGGGGGCCCGCACAAGCGGAGGAACAUGUGGUUUAA
rnacentral:rRNA from 1 species